UAUGUGUGUAUAGGACUUAUAAGUUGUUCAAACAUACAGACUAUCGAAAGAUGCUACAUUGGCAUUGUGUGAAUAUGUACGACCUUAUGUGCAACCAGCUGUUAGAUCUACAGCAAUUCCAUUAGAAUUAAAGGUUUUGGGAACAUUAAAUUUUUUAAGCUCUGGAUCCUAUCAGAGAAGAGUCGGACAGGAUUUUUUAAAUUGUGUCUGCCAAUCAUCAAUUAGCAAUGUAAUACAUCAAAUUGUAGAUGCCAUCAAUAUUAUAAUGCCAGACUGGAUAAAGUUUCCAACACAACCCAAUGAAAUUCAGACUAUUCAGCAACAGUAUUAUAUUAAUACUAAUUUUCCAGGUACAAUAGGAGCUAUUGAUGGCACACAUAUUGCAAUUUACCCACCUGAAAAAAACAGAGAACAUUUAUAUAUUAAUAGAAAAUUGUUUCAUUNAAUGAAUGUCAUGAUCGUAAGUAUUUAGCAUUUAUAUGUAGUUUUUAUGUAACUUAUUAAAUGCCAAACGUUAAUAUUUAUUAAUAUAUAGUUAUAUUAAUAAUGUGUUGUUAUUAGGUUAGUGAUUAUUAUGGUAAAAUAUUGGCAGUGAAAGCAAAUCAUGGUGGCCGUACACAUGAUGCCAGAGUUUGGAGUUCCUCUCAGUUAUCAAGACAUAUGUUUAGACAAUAUGAGAAUGGAAGACAAAAUAUGUGGUUAAUAGGAGAUUNUGCAUAUCCGUUAUUACCAUAUUUAAUGACGCCAAAAUUGAAUGCGCGACCAGGAUCUCCAAGUGCAUUGUAUACAGAUUGUCUUAUUAAAGCGCGAUGUUCAGUAGAAAGAACAAUAGGAGUUUUGAAAGGAAGAUGGAGAUGUUUACGUAAAGAUAGGGCUUUGCAUUAUGCACCAGAAUUUGCAGCACGUAUAGUGAAUGCUACGUGCGUACUACAUAAUAUUGCUAAGCAGUAUAAUGUUGCAGACAAUGAAAUAUUUAUAGAAGACAAUAUAGAAGUUCAAGCAANUGAANUAGAAAAUAAUGCUAAUAUGCAUGCAAGAGGAAUUGCCGUUCGAGAAACAUUAAUACAACAAUAUUUUACAUGAAAAUAUUUUUAUUGUAUGAAAAUAAAAUAAACUAUUAUCUGUGAUAAUUUACAUUUAUGUAGGAGUUACUUAUACAUGUAUAAAACAUUUACUUAUAGUAAGGAAUAAACUUAUGAACCUUUAA